GACGAACGCUGGCGGCGUGCCUAAUACAUGCAAGUAGAACGCAGUUGCGAACGGGUGAGUAACGCGUAGGUAACUGCCUCAUAGCGGGGGAUAACUUUUGGAAACGGGAGCUAAUACCGCAUACUGUAAGAUGGACCUGCGUUGUAUUAGCUAGUUGGUGAGGUAAAGGCUAACCAAGGCGACGAUACAUAGCCGACCCGGGAGGGUGCACGGCCCAACCGGGACUGAGACCCGGCCCCGACUCCUACCGGAGGCAGCAGUAGGGAAUCUUCGGCAAUGGAGCGAAGUCCGACCGAGCAACGCCGCGUGAGUGAAGAAGGUUUUCGGGUCGUAAAGCUCUGUUGUUAGAGAAGCGGUACCUAACCAGAAAGGCACGGCUAACUACGUGCCAGCCGCCGCGGUAAUAC
rnacentral:rRNA from 1 species